CUCAAAAAAAAAAAAAAAAAGAAAACAGGCUUAGGAGUUGGGCCACAUUGGCUUCCUGACCCCACCUAAGAAUCUGUAUAACCUUGGAAACAUUGCUUAAUGCCGCCAAGUCAGUUUCCUCAUCUAUAGAAUAGGGAGGGGAAAAAUGUCUGCCUUGUUGUGCCAGUUAGGAUGAUUUGACAGCAGUAAGCAGGAAGCCAUGUUUGAGUUGGCUUAAACAAUAAGGAGACUUCUUAUCACGUAGAAAACAUAAUUGAAACUCUGGUCGCAUUUCUCUGUGACUUCUCUUGGUCCACUUCCACCUCAAGCAGGCUUCUACCUCGGACAAGUAGCAAGAUGGCAGCUCCAAAAAUUAGAUUUAGGUGCUGGGUGGAGCAGAGAAAGAAGAGAAACUCCUUUUUCUCACGGCUCUCUCAGGAUUAAGGAAACAUUUUGUGGAUCUCUGGUACAUGUCCCUUCAGAUCUCAUCAGCCCAAAUUUGGUCAUACGCUUGUUCCUGAAGCAGGAACUGGCCAAAGGAAUGUGAAGACACUCAGAUAAAUUAGGGCCACUGUAGGGCAGAACAUGAGGUGAUCGUCUUCUGGGGCACAUGGCUGGGGGAGGUGCAAAAGCAAACAGAAUUGGGGCUCUGGCAGAGAGAAGAGCAGAGUCAUGGAUGCUGGGGAGGGUGCUGUGGAGUUUAGAGUGCUCAACUGAUAUAAAUAGUUCAUUAACAUUAGCUUGGUAAAAGGGAAAUGAGGGACACUUCUGCAGCUCUAGGGGGACCAAGAUAACAAGUGCAGUUCCUGUCUCUGUAGUCGCCUUUGCUGUAACAAUGCACCAUAUGCCCUCCUUCCCCAGAGACAUCCCAUUCUAAUAACAACAGGCCUGGCAGUUGACCAGCACUGCAAGGUAGAGGGGAGGUUUGACACCUCAAAAGACCUCUAGUCAACUCUUUGGUGAGCUGAGGGUCAAAAUAAGUCAUAAACUGGUAGCUGUCAGUCCCCCAAGGAGGAUGCCUCAAUAGAAGUUGGAUCUCCUUCAGAUUAUAGCAGAACUGACAUUUCAAAAGCCACAGGACCACUUGAGCCCUUCAAGUUACCAGAGGCCAUAACUUUCUGCCACCAGCUGCCCUCUUUUGACAACAGCCAUAGCAUAUUCCAUAGAUUCCCUACUACACCCAGCACAUCCUCCAAUGACUGACCCAGAACACAGAGUCCCAACAAGAGCUCUGGUAAUUUAUCUACUGUGACAAUGAGAACUCCUUCGACCUUUGAAAUGCAAGCUCCAGACUUCUCCAGAGCCUUCAGCCAGGGAAACCUAGGGGAACCCUAGAAGAGAAAGCCUGGUGUGUGUGUGUGUGUGUGUGUGUGUGUGUGUGUGUUGGGGGGUGUUGGUGUUAGUUCUGAACUGUUUCAGUUCUUCUAAAUGUAGUCCCUGACCUCAAAAAGCUGCGUCUUUGGGUCUUGACUCAGACAGCCAUUGCCUUCUUUUGUCUUGUUUUUCUAACCUAUUUGGCGCCUCACCUUAGUUUCCAUUCAAUAUUUGGCCCCUGGGGUUACUGGUCCAGUUUGGAAGGUUUAUCUUGGCUCUGACUUUGCAUUCCUCAGGGACUCGACUUUCAGCAUUCACCUGUCUGUACAUUGCACCACCACGACCAGUGUUAGUUGGUCUCUUUCCUCUGCCCCACCCGCCCAUAGUCUGCGUGUGUGCCUAGGCCAGCCUCCCUGACGCAGAAAGGCGAUUGCAGAGAUGAUUCAUUCCAUAAUCGACAAUCACACCCCCUUUCCUUCCACCCUGGGAAAACUGCUGUUCCUUCAAUGCUCUGAAAAGCUAGGAGGAAAGCAGUCUGAUUAAACUGAUGCUGUCUCAUGUGGGAAUUACUAGGACUCCCUUAAGUUACAUCUUAAAUAUAUUUCUGGCUUUUAUUAAAAGUCAGUACAUGGAACACUACCAAGUGAAAUAUUUACUAUUUGGGGAGCAAGAAGUCCCAAGCUUGUGUAAGUUGCUCUUUCCUGGGAGAUGGGAUCACCGGAAGUCCACCUCAGCUGUGUCCCGUUUCCAUGUCUUUUCCUUAGUUGACUGCUGAAUUCACAGAUCCCAUAAAUGUUUAUGUUUUUCAAAUGACAUCUGUGGUUGUCACAGUGGGGAUCACAGGUAUAGGAGAACAUAAGGUGUUCCAUUUCUUGUUCAAUUUGGGAGUUUUGGUAGUGAAAUAUUAGCAUGUAUUUGCUGUAAUCCAACGUUGUUUCUUUGCUGUUUCCUUUAAGUUAUUGCAAAGGGCUGGAAUAUGGAACUAUUUGCAUCCAAUUCCACCUUGAACUUCUCUCCAGUGAUUACUUUUGUGUUAUCAGCUUUACUAAGUACAAGAGCUCCACAGAAUGAAAGACAUGCAGAGGAAUAAAAUCAGACUUGACUUCAGAAAGGGAUAAAUAAAAUUUUAAAAUGAAAAAUGACCCAUGUCUUAAAUUCUAGUGGGUCUCAAUUGAGGUUCUUCUGUUCCUUAUACCUUGUUGCAAUGAAAUGUUAUGAUCUAUAGAUAAGUAAAACCAGCCGCUAGACUUGGGGACCAUUCACCCACUUAACCUGUAUGAAACUAUUAAGGUUAGUAAACGAAUAGCCAUCCAGGCCAUUACUUGAUGAAGUUUGGUUAUAUGCAUGACAAACAUGUAGAUCCCUGAAUCAGAUAUGCCUAUGAACUUUUGUAUGGUUUUAGAGACUCCAAGAAUAUAGAAAUAUCUGUAAAUAACCAUUUAUUUGGACUUCCCACCAAGCCUUUAUAGAGAAAGCCUCCCCUACUCCUAAAUCCCCAAACAGGAGCUUUUGAAAUUUCACAGACAACUCUCUCAAUAACUGCCCAGUCCAGAUGAUAAGAAGUAAUGACUCCAAAUGUUUUUAUAAGGCUAAUAAAGAAAAGGUUUGAAUAAACAUAUAAAACUUUCUACAAUAUAUAAGAUCUGUGUAACUCUUGUAACAUAAAUGGAUACAAUGAUAUUAUGGAAAGCCCACAAAGGAAACAGAACUGCUUUGGGGUCCCAUUUAGUGUCUAUAAAUAGACAAGGACACUGGAACAUGACCGUCUUCAAGAAAACUUCUGGGAGCCAAUGAACCAUUUUCCCAUAUCUGCUCAGGACUAUGGUCUAGUGCCAAUGGGUGGUACUUGAGAGAUUUAUAUAAAUAUCAAGUUGAUUCUGAUAUUAAUUCGCAAGUUUGUUUCAACUGAACUGGCUUCAACUUUUAGAAUAUGCACAUUCUUGGGGUAGAAUGUUUACUUUCCAUCCUAGAAUGAUAAUAAUUUCAUUGUUAUCUUGAAAAAAAAUAGGAUGAUUUCUGGAACAUUUAUCUAUUUACCAUGGCAAAGCCAGGAAAUGUGUCUAUUGACAUUCCAAAUAAAAAGCAUAUUUGUAGCUAGGGAAAAUAAAGAAAGAAAAUGUAUUUCAAAAUUGAAUACCUUUCAAACAUUUGUGAAUUCUUUGUUUAAUUUGAACCACUGACUAUAGUUAGCUGAGUAGCAUAGCCCUUUUGGUUUUCUGUUUGAGAAACAGAGACUGAAAGGGACCGAAAGUCUGAGAAAUUUAAAAUUGCUAUAAAACUCUUCUCACUUUUCCUAAUUAAAGGGCAGACUAGUCUGAUUCAUAGACAGGCCUGAAUUAGAGAACACUUUAUAAAAAAUGCAAUUUAUGGCAGCCCUUGACAGGGAUAGGAGAAUAAAAUUAAAAGCCUUAAAGAAUUUUUAAAAAUUAAUAAAGAUGAAUCAUUUGUAACUCAUUUGUUAUUUAUAUAGAAAGGCUAGUACUAGUUGGUUUCCUAUGUUGUUUUGGGAAAAAAUGCGUUUGCCUUAGCAUUUAAGUAGACUAAACAUGUCCUUUCUCUGAUGAUUACUGCCAGUGUGGUCUGUCUGGAAUGACUCCAAAUUCCAGAUUAAUUGAGUCCAAAUUAAUAAACUAUGUUGGCUUUGCCAAUGUUAUGCCAGUUUGAGAUAGAUUAGUUGCUGGCUUUGGUGGUGAUGGUGGUGGUGGUGGGGAUAUAUUUUUAACAUUCUCAGAAAAAAGAAUUAGCCAGUGCAUGACAAAAAUGAUUAAUACAAUUCCUACCAUGGCCACGAGAGGGCUACAAAUACCACUACAAAUACUCGCUACUGAAAGGUGAUUUCAAAAAUUUAGAGAAAUUUGUCAUCCAUUUCCAAGCUCAGUCUCUCUGGUCUCUCGAUUUUUUUUUCUAACAGCAUUACGACUAAAAAACACCUCUAAAAAUACCUGCUCUAAAGUGUUCCUUUCAUGGCACGUGCUAAUCUCAUGAAUUGCCAUAACCGUGAAUAUUUCCUAUUUCAUGUGAUGCAGAGAUUAUCUGACACUAAUCUAAAUUUUCUCUUUUUACAGGAGAAAUAUCUGGGCAAGCAGUUUUCAGAACAUGGUGCUUUGGAUGAGGUUUUGUUUCCUUCUACUUCCAAAUCCAAGACAUCUGCCUUUUAGGAGUCAGGAUCCUCAGUGGGUAUAAAUGAGGUCUGGGAGUCUCAGUUCCCUAUGCAAAUGAGAGAGACUUCCUACCUAGGAAGCCCUCAAGCUACGCUGGGAACCAUUCCCGCUGAUAUUUCAGCCAACGUUAAGAUGCUUAGAAAAGUUUAUGAUAAAAAUAACAUCCUAAAGAUUACACAACCAGCAUCUUGAGCUCUUAAGCAGAAGGUGAUCUUGGAAAAGUCAAUGAACCUACUAUUUUCAAUGAUUUCAUCUACCAAUCUAAUGAACUAAAGGUCAAAAGAUAGGACUAGACCACGCUACCCUUCCACAGGUAAGUCAACCUCUUGAACUUGAGUUUCCUUAUCUUGUAAAUGGGGACAGCAGGACUGAAUCACAACAUGAAAAUAUUUUAAAAACCUAAGGGAUGACCCAGCAAUUCCACUCCUAGAUAUAUACCUAAGAGAGAUAAAAACAUGUUCACACAAACACUAACUUAGCUCUAGGACUAAUUUUGCAUACUGCCAUCACUUUGUGUAUGAAUGUUGAAAGUGGUUUCAUCCAUGACAAACAGUAGAAACCACCCAAAUGUCCACCAACUGUUGAACAGACAAACAGACUGCCCUGUUCCUUACUAAAGAUGCCAGACAGGUGGCACACAACUGACAGUGAAAGUCUUACCUGAGUGUACAAGUCACUUGGGACAACUUUCUGAAAUCAUCAUAACUCUUAAUAGCUAAACAAUGCUACAGUUUCUAUCAAUCCAAAAAGCAAUGACUAAGGACAUUGUUUACAACUGGGGACAUCAAACGGCAAUCACAUUGCAGCUCAGCAAUUGUCAAAGCUGCAAUCACAUUGCAGCUCAGCAAUUGUCAAAGAGAAAACACGACUUUUUACCCAAGGAUUCUGGCUUGUCCCAUGUUUCCUUUACUUUUGAAUGCAGAAAAUUUCCUGAGGAGGUCUACAUAUGCAAGAACAAGUGAAAUAGUAAAAUUUAUAUAUUUUGACUUCCGAUGUGUUAUUUUUAAAAAAUCUAAUUUCAGCCUACUUCAAGAUCCCAGAUUUUACCAAGAGCUGGAUAUGACCAACUUAGCUAAAAGCCUAAGAAGAGGUUCGAUGACCUCUUUGCCAUACCCAGUAGCCUCUGCACAUUUUUGGAGAUCUUUAGUUCUUGUCCGUGGCCCUUGAAACAAUGGUGAUAUUGUCUUAACUUCUGGAGAUCUUUCCGGAUGAUGGGGAGCUGGGAAAAGCAUGGCGACCACAAAUCUGCCCCACUGCAGCCGGGAGGAGUCCACUGAAGGCAGCCCCCAGCUCUGGACACAGAGAAUAUUGUUGUUCUCAGCCAAAACAAACACUUCCUCAUCUUGGAGGCCCACUGAGCGACAAGUAGCUUUUGAUGUAGACAUCACUCCCCCAGGGAGCUAUUUGUCUAGAGGCUGGGGGGGGGGGGCAGCAGGAACGAGCUUGUCUGCCAAGAUGCUGUGCUAUCAUAUUUUUACUUCCUGCAACGUGAGCUUCAUGAGUGUGGGCAGGAGCCAUUACCCUGGCACUUUAAAAGGAAAGUUGCUUCUGAAACCAGAUUCUUCUUGGCAGAGCUCUGACAUGCCUUUAUUAGGGCUGAUGAAAUAAUCAGCAGAGGCUUUAGCUCACUUUGACAGACCUUUCUGACCAGAAAAGGGAGCGGAACCAGGCCAAGGACUGAAUUCCGCCAAUUGUAGCUAUCAGAGACACUGGGAGAGAUUCAUUAAUUUCUCAGGACUGAGGAAUUAUUUUGGAAAACUGAAUUCCUGCUGUAAAAAACACACCAUUGGGAAGCAGCAUAAAAAGAAGUCACUUGUAAACCAUUGCCAAGAAAUAGAAGUGUGUCUUUUCAAGCUGAUCCAAAUUUGGGGAAACCCAGAGCGAGUGUAACUCUCCAUAAAUGGAAUUUUUUUACUCAAGGAAUUGUGAUGGUGUUCCUUUAAAAUCACUGACAUUGAAAUGAUUGCUGUCUGUCCAGCAUGCCUUUCCACACCAAACCCUGCUAUCCUGAGCCCCUUUUAGGAGGCUCAGUGGCUGGGAGUGUAAGGACAGCCUUGUUAUAAACCCAAGGUGUCUCCGCACACUGGCGUCUUAUUAACACUCAGCCUCAGCCUUAAGGAGAAAGAUCUCUCAAUACAGAGUGAAAAAUAAACAGCUUGGGAAAUUGGAAGACUUCUGCUCCAUUUCUGCCCAGGCAUCCUCAGUUUGGUGUAGACAACGGAAUUUGGUGUUUUAUAGUGGUCUAGCAAAGAAACUGCAUCGUGCCCUCUGUCCACCACUCUUGCUAGGGGUUGGGCACAGAUUGACAAGCGUGAGGGUGGGAGGCACCCAGGAAAGUGACUGUUGAGUCCCAGAAGUUUUCAGGCAGGGCCUGCAGAGGCCGAACUGGGCAGGCACCUUGGACAUCUCCCAUAUGCCUCUCUGACAGUCCCACAGGUCGGUGGUGCAGCAGAACCCUUGCUUGGAUGGAGUAGAUAGUUCUCUCUCUGGGGCACUGUCACUCUGGGAGUGCAUUUAUGGUAAUUCAAUUAAAAAUGGUUCUAAUGAAAUUUGGGUGCAUCUGUUACAACUAACUCAACUUCAUCACUAUGCAUUGCAGAGAGGUAGCAUGACAUGGCUAAGGAAAUAUAAAAUGUCCUUUUGAUUAAUUUCUGAUGUUAACAAUAGAGUACUAUGCAGUCACUCUUGCAGUGGAAGGUGCUCAGUAUAGGAAAAAUAAAUACCAGCUUCAUUGCGAGAGAUAGAGGCUGUUGAAUUCAUGUGUAAUGGACGGCACGACAUUCUCCAGAAACAACGGCAAAGCGGUGCUGCGGUAGAGAGGACACUGGAUUUGAAUACAGAAGACUUUGAUUCUAGCCUGAGUCCUGCCACUCACCAGCUAUAAGGUGAGUGACUCUGGCAGGUCACUUUGUCUCUCUAAGGCUCACUGUCAUCAUGCUCUGUAGGUGGGGACACUGUGCACAUAGAGGGUUGUUGGGAGAGAAGAGAUGUCAAAGUACUUUGCCAACUGUAAAGAUCGGUGUCAUUUGUGGGACAUCAUUUUUCCUAAGCAACUAAAACAUUUUAAUACUGAAAUGUCUGAAAAGUAGACAUUUAUGCAUCAUUAUAAAUGUCAUCAAAACAUUUAUUGAGCACCUACUGUGUACAAUACAAGGGGCUAAGGAAUGGAGCAAUGAAGUGGGUUAGGAUAUGGUCGCUGUUCUCAAGUGGCUUACAGUUGACUUAGUGAGAAAGAAUAUGUUUAUAUUAAGAAGAAAACCAGUGCUACCUCCCAGGUCAAGAAUGAUCCAGUAGUGAGUGAGGACAGAGGAGAAAGGGCCACUGGCAUUCUAGAGCAGGGUAAGGCUUAAGCUGAAUGUUCAAGGACAGCCAAGUUGCUGAUGGGUGCCCAGUAAACAUCUAGGCAUGCACAUGGUACAUGUACUUCGUAGAGAAUGGAAGACACACAGCCUAGACUCUAGUCCUGGAUUUACACUUCACACUUUUCCAGACCUUAGUUUUCUCUCAAGAUGUAGAUUACUUGCCUAGAUUUCUCCAUAUAGCAGAGACAUGUUGUAAGAAGGUAAAAUAAUAUUUCAAAUGCCAGGACUUUAAGUCUUUUGGAGCAGAGAAGGCGGGUAAACAAAGAGAUUAUUAUAUUAUUCAUAGUUUUCCAAUAUUUUCAUCAGAUACCAAACUAAAAACUUCUGUUCGCACAACCCAGAGAGUCUGUGAACAAUAGGUCACCAGUGUUCAUGAAUUCCUUUUUGGUGCUCAGACCACAAGGGUAUGCGAAUGAAAACUAGACAAAGGGCCCAGAUGCGAUGCCAGUUUCUGUUUGCUAAACUGAGUGGGGUCCAUUUACAGACACACAGAAACCAAACAGAGCCAAGCUCUGGCCACUCUCGGGGCUGGCGGCAUGCUCUUACAUUGCUCCAGGAAUACUGAGUGUUUCUCUCCUAUAUCCUUUCUUCCCCUUCCUGGUAACUUAGAGUUACCACCAAGGAGACAUUCCAGACCACACAGGGCCUGUCCCCUUGACGGUGACAAUCCCAGCCCUCCAACAAAUUGCUCCCCCCCAGAGAGCAGCUCCCAGAGGCCUGUACCCUAGUAAAAAGCCCUCUUACAGGAGCACUUACGAGCAGGUGUUUAGACACGGUUGCUCUACCAAAAGGACAUAAAUGGCUGCCAUCCCCAUUUCACACUGCCCUUGGAUUUCUUCAUUCCAGUGCUUUCUUUAAUGGGCUGGUGCCUUUUCAGAGUUGAAACAAAGGGGGCUGUUGGGUGACAAGCCAGGGCCCAGCAGCUGGCUCAGGCUAGACCUGCCUGCAGGGUGAAGGCUGCGAUCAAAUAUGUGAUUCAUAGCUGGGAGGAGGCUGCCAACUCCAGCUGCAGGGUGUAGCUGGUGCUGGCCAGGAAGGCGCUCUCUGCUCUGUGCCCUGUGUGCCUUUUGUGCCUUGUGUGCCUUCCCUGCUAGGAGCCCAGCUCCUGCCCCCUCUUCCCCCAACCCUCGUCUCCACAUGGAACUGUUCCACUGGCCAACACCCAGAGAGCUCCUUCAUUCUACCCAUGUUCAAUCAGGUACUUGAAACGGCACAUGACUCAUGUCAGACUCGGCCAAGACCAACAGCAUUAGGGCUUCUAUUGUUCGAGAGCUGACUCCAAGUCCCACGAACAAUUUCAGUGAGUGGAGCCCUUGUUGCUUACAUUGCAGCUCUCUAAAGUCAUGGAAAGAAAUGACCACACAGAAGCCAUAGAGCAGCCAAGACACAGAGCAGCACAACCUCGUUCUUCCUUAAACAGCAUCUCUGGAAAAUCAUCUCGAAGAAUUUUCCUUUGAGAACUGACCGUCGUCACCAAGUUGUGUUUGCUGCAAGAGCAAAGUUUAGCUUCAAAUGCAAAGACUGGCAAUGCCACUCCAGGGAAUAGUGAGGGCCUCAGGUUGAAUUUAUCAUUGAACUCAGGGGUCUGCUGUCGAUGUCAACUGCGAUUUAAGGCAAGCCUCAGGAUUUCCAUCUGCAGAGAAAAGUAGUCUGUAUCUCCCAACAGAAAUAUUAAUAAAAUGGGUUGUUCUAAGGCCUAAAACCAAGGAGCAGUACCAGAAAGGGAUCAUUAAAAGUUUGACGGGCUAAUACUCUCCAAGCAGUGCAAAUGAUGCUUUAAUGCCUGGGUAAAGGGUGAUGAAACCUCGUCAAUUCUCUGACUCAGAGGAGGAGUCAAGUUGCUUCCUCCUUUUAAGAACAUUCCUGUUGACAUACUGCUAAGUAAGAAAUGCAAAGCUGGUACAGUAAUUUCUGUGUAAGAAAGUAGAAUAUACUUGUGUCUGCUCAUCUGGGCACAAAUAUAAGAAGGAUUGAGCAGAAAUUGGUGAGUUUGCUGACUAUGGGGAGUACGUGGGCACAGAGGGAGGAAUGGAGUUGGGUAGAAGGCAUUGGGAAGUGACUGCUCCCAGUACACCUUUUUGAAUAGUUUUGCCUUUCAGUGGUGUGUUAUGUUUUGCAUAUUCAAAAUAAAUCCAACAAAGCUGAAGGGCAAGGAACAGAAAAUGCCUGUUUCUCCUUUAGGAAAAUUGAAACUUGUCUAUGUCAUUGUGGCGAUGAAAAUAGCCAAUAAAUAAAGGAUAUAAAUAAAGGGCUCUUAAAGUCUUUCUGACUGUUUAAGGAAUCUGCCAUAAACUCUGAAAUUGAACUACAUAAUUUAGAAAAGGGGAUAUAGCAUCCUCACCCUUGGAGGUCUUUGAAAAGAGAACAGACACACACAAGUGUCUGUAUGAUCUCAGUAAAGGAGUGACGGCUUGAAUACCCUUUCAGGGUUGUGGGAUGUUAUCAGAGCUGGAGCCAGGCACCUCGUGGUAAAGAGGUUUGUCUCUGAAUCUUGCGUCCGUCAUUUCCUGCCUUCUCUUCCCUCCAUAGAACUCCGAAUUCCAUUCCUUCAACCUGUAUCCAUACCUGAUCACCCCUCACGAGGCAGAAGGGCAGGAGUCUGAAGGACAAUCCUUAAGUCCAUCAUACCACGUAAAAGUCUUGACAAUCUAAGCACAUCUGCUGUCCAGGAUGGUGUGUUUUAGGAAAUAGCUGUGAUCACCUCUGGUAAAAGAACUGGAAAGUUUGAAUCCAGCAUUUAGAAUAUGUGACCAGUGUAUAUGUCUAAAUCUUUAUGGAGAUGGCCUACUACCAAGUGAGCCUACUGGCGUGAAGAAAAGUCCUUUGCUUCCCCCAUAUAAACUUGGAAUGGGUGUAGUCAAGUCCUGGGAAGAAAGAUCCAGAAGAGGAAAGACUGAGUAUCCAAGAUCCAGUGAGGAUCUGGGUGGUCAGAGAAGUUCUAGCCCAACCCCAGUUUCCCCUACAUAAACGAUAUCAUUUUGGGGUUAAUUUGGACUCCUUUCCUGGAACCUAUCAGGCCUGACCACUUUUCCGGGGUGCAAGUCCUCUUCCUAAGACAUCCCUGACACACAGGCUGCCCCUUUGCCUGUAUUAAUGAGCCCUGGAAAAGAGAAAGAGUGAUUUGUAGAGACAUUUA